GACAAGCAAGUGCUGGUGAGGAGGGAGUGCAAGGGAAUGUUGGUCUAUAAAUAGAGCAAGGGUGGUGUGGCGCAUGCAGUCGUCGGUGGAUCCUUGUCCAUGGUUGCAGCUACCAUAGGGUACGUUGGUGGUGUGGUGUGUGGUGUGGGUCUCCGUCAUGGGAUGGGAGUUAAGAGAUGGAGCGGCAGGAGGCAGUUGGGAGUUGGGGGCGGGCCGACCAUCUUCGAUAUUCGAUGGAGAGGGGCUGCCGCGCGCCUAACAUGACCAAAGUAGUAGUAUAUGCAGCAGGGACAGACAGACACAUGUUCAUGGUUCAAUUCAUUUGGUGCAUGCAGUUGGAUGGAGGCCGCGUUGCAUUGCAUUGCAUUGAUUCAGAGUCAUGUCAGUGAGCGUUUGGGUGUUAGAUGUGAGUGGUUAUCACACAAUUAUUGCAUUGAUUCAGUCAUGUCAAUGAGGGUUUGGGUGUUAGAUGUGAGUGAUUAUCACACAAUUAAACAUGGAUACAUCAAUAUAAUCCAUCCGUCCAUCUCAA